rnacentral:misc_RNA from 1 species
GUAAUCAGCCCCGUCGAACGUUCGAUGACUGCAAAAUCGGGGUCGAUCUUCGGAUCGGCCCCUUUUUUUGUGCCAU